AGAGUUUGAUCCUGGCUCAGAAUGAACGCUGGCGGCGUGCUUAACACAUGCAAGUCGAACGAUGAAAAGCAGCUUGCUGCUUGGAUUAGUGGCGCACGGGUGAGUAAUAUAUAGAUAACGUACCUCUUAGACUGGGAUAGCCAUUGGAAACGAUGAUUAAUACUAGAUACUCCUUCUAACUCCAAUGUUAGUCGGGAAAGUUUUUUCGCUAAGAGAUCGGUCUAUAUCCUGUCAGUUAGUUGGUGAGGUAAUGGCUCACCAAGGCAAUGACAGGUAGCGGGUUUGAGAGGAUGAUCCGCCACACUGGUACUGAGACACGGACCAGACUCCUACGGGAGGCAGCAGUGAGGAAUAUUGCACAAUGGGGGAAACCCUGAUGCAGCAACGCCGCGUGGAGGAUGACGCAUUUCGGUGUGUAAACUCCUUUUAUAUGUCAAGAAAAUGACGGUAGCAUAUGAAUAAGCACCGGCUAACUCCGUGCCAGCAGCCGCGGUAAUACGGAGGGUGCAAGCGUUAUUCGGAAUCACUGGGCGUAAAGGACGCGUAGGCGGGUUGCCAAGUCAGGUGUGAAAUCCUACAGCUUAACUGUAGAACUGCACUUGAAACUGGUUACCUAGAGUAUGGGAGGGGGAGAUGGAAUUAGUGGUG
rnacentral:rRNA from 1 species